rnacentral:sRNA from 1 species
ACCUGUUGCGGGUCGCAGCUGAGGGUGCCCGCAACACAAGACAGAACACCGUGCCACGGAACAAACGGGGCACUUCAGGGCGUU